GCAGUCAUGACAAAGUAGGAAGCUUAGUCCAAAGCAAGAGUAAUGAACAGCAAAGAGGUGCCCCGAGGCAGCCAUGUGGUGGGUGGUUUUGUUCCAUCCUGAAGUACUACCUCAGCACUGAGCCAUCAGCAAGAGCAAUCAAUCACGGACUGAAAUCCUCAAUACCACAAGCCAACACAGCUUCUGAAAUAUUCCUUCAAAACUCCAGAGAGAUCAGACUCCAAAGGAGGAGGAGAAACGAUGGCUCUGAUGUAUCUAAAACUAAAGAAUGACCGUUUGGCUCUGGACAACCACUUGCUGGGCUCUUCCCUGAAGAGGACUAUCGCUCUUGCUCUCAGCGUGCCUCUGUGCACGACUGAGGCUGCGUGAGCUUCACCCUUCCAUGUCAGCAUGCCUGCUGUGGUUGUCCUGGCUUAGCUGAUGCCUGGGUAGUUACGUUGGUGAGACAUUGUGUGUAUACCUCCUAAUCUCUGGAGAUGACACAAUUACAAUCUUUCUUCUCCCUUC